rnacentral:rRNA from 1 species
GGGUUGUGAGGUUAAGCGACUAAGCGUACACGGUGGAUGCCCUGGCAGUCAGAGGCGAUGAAGGACGUGCUAAUCUGCGAAAAGCGUCGGUAAGGUGAUAUGAACCGUUACAGCCGGCGAUGUCCGAAUGGGGAAACCCAGUGUGAUUCGUCACACUAUCGUUAACUGAAUACAUAGGUUAACGAGGCGAACCGGGGGAACUGAAACAUCUAAGUACCCCGAGGAAAAGAAAUCAACCGAGAUUCCCCCAGUAGCGGCGAGCGAACGGGGAGCAGCCCAGAGUCUGAAUCAGCUUGUGUGUUAGUGGAACGGUCUGGAAAGUCCGACGGUACAGGGUGAUAGUCCCGUACACCAAAAUGCACAGGUUGUGAACUCGAAGAGUAGGGCGGGACACGUGGUAUCCUGUCUGAAUAUGGGGGGACCAUCCUCCAAGGCUAAAUACUCCUGACUGACCGAUAGUGAACCAGUACCGUGAGGGAAAGGCGAAAAGAACCCCGGCGAGGGGAGUGAAAAAGAACCUGAAACCGUGUACGUACAAGCAGUGGGAGCACCUUCGGGUGUGACUGCGUACCUUUUGUAUAAUGGGUCAGCGACUUAUAUUCUGUAGCAAGGUUAACCGUAUAGGGGAGCCGCAGGGAAACCGAGUCUUAACUGGGCGUUAAGUUGCAGGGUAUAGACCCGA